UACGAGCGGCCCAAACGUUAUUCGGAUUUACUGGGCUUAAAGAGUUCGUAGGCCGCGCGGCAAGUAGGGUGUGAAAGCCCUCGGCUUAACCGAGGAACUGCGCUCUAAACUACCGUGCUUGAGGAACCUAGAGGUGAGCAGAACUGAUGGUGGAGCGGUGAAAUGCGUUGAUAUCAGGAGGAACACCGGUGGCGAAGGCGGGUCUCUGGGCCGAUAUCGACGCUGAGGAGCGAAAGCGUGGGGAGCGAACAGG
rnacentral:rRNA from 1 species